CUCAAGGUUGGGCUGGCUGCUGCGCCUGUCAGGGCCAGAAUUGUCAGCUCUUUUCUGGAGUGACUUACUACAUACAGAGAGGAGGAAAAUGAACUAAGGUGCACUGGGCAAGUCACCGUCAGGAUUUCCCUCCAAUCUCACGAUAGUCCUACGAGGCAGAUUUUCAUCACCAUUUCUCAAAUGGGGAAACUGAGGCCCCACAGGUAAGAGGAUUGGCCUGUGUCACACUGAUAUUAAUGGCUAAAGGAAAGUGCUACCUCCAACGGAAUUAUUCCCGUCAGUGGUUCCCAACCGGGAUGUGGUGGAGAGGUGCUUCUAAUUCCUCCUGCCGGCACAGUAAUUAUGAAAGUAGAUCCAUCUUCCUGUCUCUCAACUUCUCGACCUAGUUCCCUUCCAAGUUCUUAUCAUAUGAAGUCAGCACAACAAUAUUAGUAAUAUGAACAAUGCAUAUUCACAUGCAAAAUCGGUGAAGUCCAGCGGUACCAUGGAGCAUGUGCAGGAGCAGAGGAGAUAGCUACAAUAAAAGUGUUUACUGCCAUUUCUUGCUGUCCAUUUGCGUAUAGUGUUCAUAAAAUUCCAUGAGCACAGGAUUCUGAUGAAUCUACAAUGCAUGGGAGCUCAGAGGGGACUCAAAUCAAGUACAAUAAAGCAUUUCCAUUUUGCCUGGCUCUGGGAACAAAGCCAAUGUCUGCUUUAGAGGAACAGAGAUUUCCACAUGGUGAAUGGAAAAAAGGACACAGAUCCAGGAUUCAGAAAGGAAAUGAGGACAGAGACUGACACUCUCUAAAUACACAAAGGCAGAAGACAUUUUCUCAGGUGGGUUACAUACCUGCCUUAUUCAUAUGAUCUUCACAAGUCAGAAAACUUCGGUUUCAGUCCUGGUUCUUACACUAAAGUGUUGAAUGACUGUGAAUAAGUCCCAUAAGUUCUGCUGUCCUUACUGAGGAGUGCAGAGUGUAUAUAAAAUGGGAACAAUGGUAUUUUUCCAGCUACCUUAGGGCAUUGUUUCAAGAAUCAAAUGGGAUAAUACUCAAAGAAGUACUUGGUGAGCUGUGAAAUGCUGAACAUAUGUUAGGAAUUAUUAUUUAGCCAAUAAACCUCUCUCUAAGACACUAGUCUCUGAGAUUCCUCCAUUUGAGAGAUAGCUGUCUUCUCUAUUUACCUCAAACAUGUAUUCUGACUCUAACCCAAAGUCACUUAGAAAUUGGCCUCAAAGAUCUAACCAUAGCCUUGGCACCAGACAGGAAAUCAGAUCUCACUUCCUGCCCCUACUUUUAUUUGCAAUGUAGCUUCCAAAGCAAGAAACAAAAUCUCAAGUUCCAUUAAUAAUGAAACAAGGAGGCUCAAAAGCCUCACAUCCUAACAUUGGGCUCAAUGGAGAAGGAAGGAGCAUCAGUGAUGAUGAGGAAAGGUACAAGUGCAGGGUGAAGGUGGGAGUUGACCUUAAGAGAGAGCUUAUUGUACUGACUGGGAUAGGAAGGUCUUAAAGAAUGGUGUCUUCUGGGAGGCAUCAUUUUCCACAGAUGGUCAGGAAUGUCAAAUCAGUCCUAGACAAAACUAGAGCCUCUAGAGAAGGAAAUUAUGAGAGACUGUGGGAAACUGGCAAGAAGAAAUUUUGAAAGGAAGGGAGAACACUGAAUCAUUUGAUGACCUGCCAUGUGCCAGAGGCUGUCUUAUACAUAUAUCAUACAUCUGCGAUGUCAUGUCCUCCAGCCUGCCUCCCGCCUCCUUUGCUGCUGCUGUGCUAAGCCAUUGGAGAGCAGACAGCUCUGGGUGGUCAUGUUCUAGUAGCAGAAACCCUUCAGGAAUUCAGACAGUAUCCACCCAUUGACUGUUGGAAGAAAAAAAAUCUGGGUCAAGAUGAGAAUUGACAGAGAAAAGGGAGGAAAGAAGAGAAAUGGAGCUCAGGGUGGUGGUGAUGGUAGAAGUGCAUCUAUUAGGACAAUUUCCCAAGUAGCAACUCUGGAUUCCCCCACUUGCUUACACAGUGUCUCCUUCCUAUCCUUCCCUCCCCAGCCCUUGUCUCUACUGAACAUCUGUCAACACUGGCCUCAACCACUAGAUUCUAUCAUUGUGGUUAAAAGCUGAGAUAAGCUUGGACUCAAGUCCUGCUUCCUCCUCUUGCUUGCUAGCUGUGUGGCCCUGCUAUGGCAGUUAACACUAAGCCUCAGUUCCUCUUCUAUUAAACAGCGUUAAUAAUGCUUAUUAAGUGUUUCCAAAAAAUUGAAAUACAUUUUGUAUAUAAAGUGUUGAACCCAA